rnacentral:rRNA from 3 species
UUAAGUAGACCGCCUGGGGAGUACGGCCGCAAGGUUAAAACUCAAAUGAAUUGACGGGGGCCCGCACAAGCGGUGGAGCAUGUGGUUUAAUUCGAUGCAACGCGAAGAACCUUACCUGGUCUUGACAUCCACAGAAGAAUCCAGAGAUGGAUUUGUGCCUUCGGGAACUGUGAGACAGGUGCUGCAUGGCUGUCGUCAGCUCGUGUUGUGAAAUGUUGGGUUAAGUCCCGCAACGAGCGCAACCC